GGGGAUGUGGCUCAGUGGUAGAGUGCUUGCCUAGCAUGUAUGAGGCCCUGGGUUCAAUCCUCAGCACCACCA
rnacentral:tRNA from 2 species